CCCGCCCAGCGCAGCGGGGCGGAGAGACGCGCCCGCCGCGGUCAAUGGGGAAGGCGGGCUGGCUGCUGGGCGCCGACUCUAGGAUGAGAAGAAGAGAAUUCACAACACAGAAUUCGUAUGAGCCAAAUUGCUAUGCCGGCAGAGCAGGGAAGAGAUUCUGGAUCCGCCUCUUAGAAGGAGGGCAGCCCGGGAUGAAUGCAGGCUUAUGCAAUAGAGCAGCCAGACUGCUGUGCUUAAAACACCGAGACACAGAUGACAUUGGGAUGAGAGGGGACACUUGCCACAAGCAGCUCACAAAAAUAAUAGACACUUGUUAAAAUUAAACACUUGGACCUUUUCCUUCUAAAGCAAGGGACUUUGUGGAUUGUAGCACAAGAAUUCAACUUCAUUCUUUAAAUGUCUAAGCUUCACCCUGACAGUGGAUGCCACAAAGACAGCAAGGCUGUCAGUAUACUUAGUGAAAUAUUUUUAGUCCCAGUUUUAAAUCAGAAAAACAAAAUGGCAGCAAACUCUGAGAAGGUGAAUUAAUUACUACACAAAGUGUAAAAGUUUGGUUGAAGUAUGAAAUAAUGAAAUUUUGUUGAAUAAAUCCUCACCAAAUGUUUGUCAAAAUUUCUGCUGAAUGAUUGUUCUAAGUCAUUUGUUUCCUCCAAACACAUAUCUGCUUUGUUCUUAGGUUAGAUUAGUUUCCUUAAACCCUACAAACAUGCAGUAUCAUUUGGACUAGUACAGAACAGAAUUGGUCUGGAUUUUUUCCUUAAUCUGAGUUUUCUCUAGGUUUUGGAAAUUUGUGUUUUUUAUUGCUGCCAUAGCAUGAGGUGUCUUCAGAACCUUUCCUAGAGAGUUUCUGUGCAGAUGGGUAAAUAUUUCCUGUUGAGACUUGUGGGCUGCUGAGAUGUAGUACAGACAUUCUUUUUUUGGUGAAAAAGAAAAUGUACAGUUAAUCAUGGCCUUGCAUUCUAGGAAGCAUCUCAGACCAUGACAGAAGCGUUUUCUGUAGUUUUCCUUUAACUACAAAGUUUUAGUUACUGAAUUUCCCAACAAUAAAAGUCUAUUCCUAUUGCUGAAAGAGGUUAGAUACUAUUCUGAUGUAAUGCAGAUGAUUUCUUCCUGUGUUCCUUGGGUCUGCCUCAGUGUCUGGAGAUUUGUUGUUAUUAGGCUGCCACAGGGGCAUUUGGAAGGCUGUUUAAGGCAUGUUUUGAAAGCAGGCAGUGUGAAUUACAAUGCAGUAGGCAGGAUGCACAAGUAUCACCUGUGUAACUACAGAAAGUUACACACAUCACAGAGAAGUACUGUUGCAAAGAGGGGGAAGUGCUCUCCUCAAUAUUUUUCUUAGCAGGAGUAUGUCCUCUUUCUGAGUGAUGCCUGGAAAAGAAGCAUUUGGAUGGUAGAAUUUCCCCAACCUUCUCUUCAUUCUGGUGGUAGAAUAGUGAUAAUAGGGUCACCAGAGGCUGAAGUUGAGAGGCUAAAAUAUCUGAAUGAGCCAUCAUUUUUUAUAGAUUCACUGCAGCUAUGUGGCUUGUGCAGGUAGAUUUAAAACAGAACUAGAAGGCCAGCAAAGAAUACCUCUUAGAAAAUCAGUGACUGCAGCUAGUAUUUUAAAACUUUCCAAAAUACUUUUCAAAAAAAUACAGCUGCCUGUAAGGCCUUUAAAUGGUAAUAUUCCUCUUUAUCGUUCUCCUAGUCUAUGAUAACUGCUUAUUUAUUACUUUUCUCGUUUUUUUUCCUCAAACCUUCCUUAGCCUAGACCUGCCCAGGCAGUGUGAACUUCCUCAUGUGAGCUGCUGGCUGAUUUUGAAUAUCCAUUCACCUCCGAGCUGGUUGAGGCUGCUCUCUGUCUUGCUGGAUCAGACUCUUGGCUCAUCUUUCAUAACUGCCAAGGUCUUUCAUAACCUCUGAUCUUUCAUAACCCCAAAUGCUCGCCAGUUCCUCUCACAUGCCUUUCGUAACCUACACACACGCCACGUGUUUAAUCUCGUCCUUUUGGAAUAGGCCCAUCCUGAUGAACCUGAAAUACAAGUGUUUCUUGGGUGCUUUGUCUGCCUCAAUCCUCCUGAGCCCCAGUCAGAUUUGUGUGGAUGUCAGAUUUCCUUCCCUGAGACAAUGAAUGCUCAGUGGAGGGGAAAACCUGUUCUCUCUGACCUCAGAGGAGAAAAGGGAGCCUGGUCAUGGAUUUCCUUCUCUCCCGGGGUGUGAAGCCCUAAUUGCCUUAUAGGUGUGGCUCAGCUGGGGGUGGCAGUCUCCUUCCCUUCCUGUCCUAAGCCUCAGCUGCUCCGUGUGCCCCAGGGGUCCCCACUGCUGUCUGCUCAGAGCAAAACCCAGCGUCACUCGCUGGGGAAUUGGUUUAAUUCUGCCUCAGCAGACAGCUUGCCAUUCUCUACUCCGACAGUGAUUGCAGGCUGCAGUGAUGCAAUAAAAUAGGUUGGAGUUUUGCAGAGAGAGGGUGACCUUGCUGGAUCUACCCGUCCUCAAAUGCCUUCCAGUGCACUUCACGGGUUUGAUGGAUCUUUGUCACUUCAUGGGUUUGAUGGAUGAUCUCCUAACGGAAUAAAAUGAAAGGACAAGUGUAUAACAGCUUUAAUAUAAACAGAGGGACAAAAAAAAAGAGGAAGAAAUCUUUUGCAAUUAUUAGCCUAAGUGUGAGUGUUUCCUCGGUGUGACAGCCAGAGGCUUGCUGCUGUGCUGUUAUUAAAGUGCACUUCAGUGGGAAUCCAUCCAGAUGGCUUUUUUACCCAGCAUAGGAUUAUAUUGGAUUAGUCAUAUAAAAUUGUUGUUUACCAUCUCUAGCCCUUUUCCCCAGAGCUUUUAUCAGGAAUCUCACAAAGCAUGUAGUUUGAGCUUGCCUUUAAGAGGGAACCCAGAUGAGCAAACUGCUCAUCUGUGCAAACUGCUUUCAUUUGUGCAAACUGCUACAAUGCUGUAGUUUAAUGUAAUCCUAAUGUUGCAAUGAGAGAUUUUAUACCUGAUAAAAGAGGCUGUUUGGCCCAGAGUUUCCUUUUGCCUACAAGAAGGGAAGUUAGAUUGUAAGGAGAUGCUCUUUCUUGUUGCUGGACUGCCCAGAAGAGCUGUGUUGAUCUCACUUCUGCUCCAUGAGAGACAAUCAGGAAUUCUGAACACUGGCACCGUUUUUCAUGAUGCUUACUAAUGUGGAAUUUAAGGCAUGAUGCUUGAUUAAUGCACUGUUCUGAGUGGUGUAUGAGACAUUUCCUGUGCUCUCUUUCUGUCCUGCAGAGCCAUACUCUUUACCAUCUUUCUUCUCUGUGUCCAGGGAUCACUGCUUAGGCACUGUCCACAUCUUCCCUCCUGCCACAAACUAACAAACUGUCUUAAACAUGCAGUGCAAGGCUCUCCCUUUAGAUCUACCCUGGGGAUUUGUUAUAACAAGGAAAUUUUUUUUCACUUCAAGACAGAUAGCUCUACUGGUAAAAUGGCAUCCUUCAAUUUUCUCUGGAGUUUUCAGACUGGCUCUGCCAUCCUGGGAAAUCUUCCUUUCCAGGAAGUAUGGCUGCAAGAAAUUUCCUGAGGUGUGAGUGCUUUGAUCCUAGACUGAGAGAUGAUUUUCUUCUCUGUAGGGGGUUCUGUCACAAGGUAAUACAGUCCCAAGCUGUUAUUCUUUUCUCUAGACCACGACUGUGGUUGUGAAAUAAAGAGGUAGUUUUCCCUGGCUUUGAAGGGAGAAGCAGCAGUCUGCCACAUGCAUGUCAGUAUUGUUUUUUGAUCCACUGAAAACACUGAACAUUAUCCACUGAAAACAACCUAGUGUUAUAACUUGAUGUUUCUAUCACUGAAGGGGAUACAGAACUUCUGCCAGUAUGCUAUGACAGGGAUGCAUGUAGCCUAGUUUGAUUUGAUAAAUAUUGCUUCUGGUUUUGUCAGCAUUAAGAUUAAAUUUACUUUCUUAUAUAUUACAAGAAAGUAUUUUUUUUGUUACCAGUUCUGAAAAUGGUCCUCUGUAAUCCAGUCAUGUCUUUUUCUCUUGAUAUGCAGGAAAUGUUCAUGAACUGAAUGCUUUUGCUUUUAGCCAAAGUGGCUGUGCUGAGGCUUGGGAAAGCCAGACUGCUUCUCUCUGUUUCAGGGAAGGCUCCUGAAAACAAACAGGAUUAUUACUCUGUGACCAAAGAUCUAAGCAAGAUGGGGAAAGGGCCAUUUUCCCACGUUGGCCAUUAUGUUCAAGGUUGUUCCAUGAUUUUUCAACUCACCACAGAGUUGACAGCCUCAACUGUGCCACAAAACAUACCAAGCAGAAAAAUCACAGAAGUCAUGACAUCUUCCAGCCUGAAAGGGACUCAGGAAGAAGCCACUGCUGACACAGAGGGUGGAUGGAAUAAAAGAGAUUAAUUUGGGGCAGGUGAAAUUUGUACAUGGUUAACAAAGGCAUGUAGAUAUUCAUAGGAAACUUUUAAUUCCUGUAAAAUCAGAUGAAGAUGGUAGCUCUCUCUGAGGGUUGAGAGGACACGUACUGACCUUUAAUCCAUGUAGAAAAAAAGGCCAUACUUGGGAGUUAUUGUAGGGUUGCAUCAAGUAAACCCAUUCUUAUAUAUUUUCUGACAAAUCAAUUAUUUUGGUGCACAUGGAGCUGAAAAAGAGUGAAAUGGGUCACAUUCUUGCUGUUUGGCAGCAAGUAGGAGGCUCAGCACCACUGGAAUCAAUGAUAUUUUCAUUUGUGUGAGCCAGCAUGAAUUGUGUCUUUGUUCACACAAACUACAUUAAAACAAAAAUGCAAGGAAAAAAGAUUGUGUUCCAUAAAUGAGCUGAAUAAUAGUGUAGGGAAAUGUUUCUGCUGUCAUUGUUUACAGUGGAAAGUAUCUUAGUGGCAUUUCAUACAUUCACAGCCACUGAGAAGUUUUUUAAAAUAAUGUAUUGUUAGGAAAAUUAAUGUAUUUUUGGAAAAUUAACUUGUUUCCUAAUCAAGUACACAUCAGUCUUUUAUGAUUUAUACAAACAAUAGGGUUUUUGUAUACACAUAGGCUAACAUUAACUUUUUGAUUUUCAAAAUCUGAUGUCCAGUGCUACGCACCAGUCUUCAGCCAAUUUUACAAAUUGACGGAAUAUCUUUCAUUUGGAAGAAUGGAUGCUUGUUUUGAAGUGGAGCCUCUCAAAAUCAAUGGUGUUUUUGAAGAUGAUUGAACCAUGAUUAAACCAACAAGGGCUUCAGCUGUAGCUUUUCCCAAGAAUUUCAAGAUACAAAUAGGGUUUUUUUGGGGUGUCAUUUGGAUAGAUCAGUGCUUGUUUGACAAAAUCUGCAUCUUACACAAACUCCUUACAGGUCUAGCUGCAUAGCUGAGAAACCUGGCUGUUGUCUGCUUCCUCCAUCUGUCUUCAACUCCCCUGCCAGGCAUGGAAAAGUGGAAAAGAAGCAGGCUGCAUGGCUCACUUUCUAGGUCAGAAAUCAGGAAUUUUUAUUUCCCUUCUAGCUCUGUUGGUCUAUUUCCCAACUUUUUUGUGUUAUACUGCUAACAAGUUUUUGAGUUUUGAAAACACUUGGCUCUUAAAAACAUACCUGCAUUGUCAACUCCUGGGUAAGCAGGAAAGCAGCAGUGUGCCCAGAACUGGUUGUUGUGUUGCUGGAAGAGCUGGGGAAACUGGGUCUUCAGGUUUCACACAUGAAAAUCACAGAAUGGGUCAGAUUGGAAGGGACCACAGUCAUCUGGUCCAGCCUCCCUGCUCAGCAAGGGUCAUCCCAGAGCACAUCAGGAUUGUGUCCAGAUGGUUUGUGAAUAUCUCCAGUGAGGAAGACUCUGCAACCUCUCUGGGCAAUCUGUUACAGUGCACAGUUUCCCACACAGUAAAGUUCUCUCUCAUAUGCAGGUGGAACUUCCUGUGCAUCAGUUUCUGUUGCCACUUGUCCUAUUGCUUGGCACCACUGAGAAUAUCCCAGACACUUCUGCUUUAAAUAUUCAUACUCAUUGAUGGGGUCCCCUCUCACUCAUCUCUUAAAGCAGAACAGGCCCAGCUGCCUCAGCCUUUCAAGUGACCCAAGACUCAUCAUGGGCUUGUUUUCUCUGCUAUUUCUGACCUAAGUGGGUCUCUGAGUGCUGCCUAGUGCUGCCUUUUCUAUCCGUGUUUGGUUUCUGCAGAAAUCCUGAAUUAAUCCAUCUGGGCUUUUUGUUUUACUUCUACACCCACAGUAUUUGAAAAACCCUGAACAAUCCAAACCAAAAGCAAACACCUGGGUACCACAGGAAUGUUAAGUCCUAUUGAGCCUUGCACAUACUUUGUACAGUAUUAUUCCUUGUUAUUCAAGUGGUUUUGUCUUAUAUGGUACAAAGUGAUUAUGACUACUGAUGUUUCCAGUAUUGAGGAAACAACUGUUAUCCUACUUGUACUAUCUACAGUGAGAUACUGGUAUGCAGGAUAUGCACUGGAUUCCACUGUGCUGAUCUCUCUCCACUGCACUCUUACCCCUCAGCUUCUCUGUGCCACUGGAAAAAUUAUUUCUUAAGUAAUUUUACAAAGUUUUGCAAAAUAUCAGAAUCUCUAUUAUAUCAGAGUGUGUUUUCUUCUAAAUCAAUAACACAGAUUCAUUGAAAUGGUGGCCUGGAAGGGAUUUUUUGUCUACUUGCUCUGUGUUACUGUGCACGUUAGGUGUACCUGUAUUCAAAGUCAUGCCUUAUCACUCUCUGAUGUGUUUAUUAAAAUAUAUAGUGAGGAAGAACUACAUGUAUUUUUCUCUUUGAUAUCAAGAAAUUUUCCCUCCCAUCCAGUUGAAGGGAUGAGAAAUGUCUACUCUGUUAGACAGUAAUUUUAUUUGUGCUCAUUCUCUGGAAGACACAAGAAACAAUUACUACUGCCCUUUACAAUAACCAACAACAAAGUCAGUUAAAAUUAUUCUGAUUGCAACACCCCCUGAUAUGCUGUAUUUUCUUCUGUAUGUAAUUUUUAUUACUGUUUUACAGACUCCUCAGGACCUCAUGUGAGAUGUUGUUUAUGUUGGAUAAACCAGAAUAAAACUGAGUAACUGCA